GAGAAAAUGGAAGAUGUUUCGGGGUCGUUAUUCAAAAUAUGGAAAUUCUUGUUGAUGACAUCUCUCACUUUGAAAUUGAAAGGAUGAUAGUUUAAUACUAGGGGGAUUUUGUUGUUGCCUGUGACAUUAGACACAGGGGAAUCUGACUGUUUAAUUAAAACAAAGCAUUGCGAUGGCGACUGGUGUUGACGCAAUGUGAUUUCUGCCCAGUGCUCUGAAUGUCAAAGUGAAGUAAUUCAUCCAAGCGCGGGUAAACGGCGGGA